rnacentral:sRNA from 1 species
GCUUGGGCAUGGUGGCGCGUGCCUGUAAUCCCAGCUACUCAGGAGGCUGAGGCAGGAGAAUUGCCUGAACCCAGGAGGCAGAGGUUGUGGUGAGCCGAGAUCGCGCCAUUGCACUCCAGCCUGGGUAACAAGAGUGAAACUCUGUCUCAAAAAAAAAAAAAAAAGAUGGAGUCUCGCUCUGUCACCCAGGCUGGAGUCAGUGGCGCAUCUUGGCUCACUGCAACCUCUGCCUUCCGGGUUCAAGCAGUUCUUCAGUUUCA